CAGCAGCCGCGGGAAUACGGAGGGUGCAAGCGUUAAUCGGAAUUACUUGGCGUAAAGCGUGCGUAGGCGGUUCGUUAAGUCUGUUGUGAAAGCCCCGGGCUCAACCUGGGAAUGGCAAUGGAUACUGGCGAGCUAGAGUGUGUCAGAGGAUGGUGGAAUUCCCGGUGUAGCGGUGAAAUGCGUAGAGAUCGGGAGGAACAUCAGUGGCGAAGGCGGCCAUCUGGGACAACACUGACGCUGAGGCACGAAAGCGUGGGGAGCAAACAGGAUUAGAUACCCCUGUAGUCCCUGUCUCUUAUAC
rnacentral:rRNA from 1 species